AUUGAACGCUGGCGGCAGGCCUAACACAUGCAAGUCGAGCGGAAACGAUGGGAGCUUGCUCCCAGGCGUCGAGCGGCGGACGGGUGAGUAACACGUGGGAAUCUGCCCAUUAGUGGGGGAUAACUCGGGGAAACUCGAGCUAAUACCGCAUAAUCCCUACGGGGGAAAGCAGGGGAUCUUCGGACCUUGCGCUGAUGGAUGAGCCCGCGUCGGAUUAGCUUGUUGGUGGGGGUAAUGGCCCACCAAGGCGACGAUCCGUAACUGGUCUGAGAGGAUGGCCAGUCACACCGGGACUGAGACACGGCCCGGACUCCUACGGGAGGCAGCAGUGGGGGAAUCUUGGACAAUGGCGCAAGCCUGAUCCAGCCAUGCCGCGUGUGUGAAGAAGGCCUUCGGGUUGUAAA
rnacentral:rRNA from 1 species